GACGAACGCUGGCGGCGUGCUUAACACAUGCAAGUCGAACGGAAAGGCCCUGCUUUUGUUGGGUGCUCGAUUGGCGAACGGGUGAGUAACACGUGAGUAACCUGUCCUUGACUUUGGGAUAACUUCAGGAAACUGGGGCUAAUACCGGAUAGGAUCUCCUGCUGCAUGGUGGUGGUUGGUAAGUUUCGGCGGUUGGGUAUGGUCUCGCGGAUUAUCAGCUUGUUGGUGGGGUAGUGGCUUACCAAGGCUUUGACGGGUAGCCGGCCUGAGAGGGUUACCGGCCACAUUGGGACUGAGAUACGGCCCAGACUCCUACGGGAGGCAGCAGUGGGGAAUAUUGCACAACGGGCGGAAGCCUGAUGCAGCAACGCCGCGUGCGGGAUGACGGCCUUCGGGUUGUAAACCGCUUUCGCCUGUGACGAAGCGUGAGUGACGGUAAUGGGUAAAGAAGCACCGGCUAACUACGUG
rnacentral:rRNA from 1 species